AUCUUUGCGCCCGUUAUAGGUGGCCAGACCCCGAUUGUGGGGCAAGGCUGAAAAGGGAAUCCCGUUCAAAUCGGGAGCUGUCCCCGCAACUGUACGCUUCAUAGGAGGGUGGGCCAGUCCCCCGGCCACUGUUUCGUUGAAAGCUUCUGAUCUAGCAGGAGCCUGAGAAAUGGGAAGGCGGCACCACUCGAAGCAAGCCAGGAGACCUGCCUGUACAAGUUUAAUGUU
rnacentral:ncRNA from 2 species